rnacentral:rRNA from 1 species
GAUGAACGCUGGCGGCGUGCCUAAUACAUGCAAGACGAGCGAAUGGAUUAAGAGCUUGCUCUUAUGAAGUUAGCGGCGGACGGGUGAGUAACACGUGGGUAACCUGCCCAUAAGACUGGGAUAACUCCGGGAAACCAGGGCUAAUACCGGAUAACAUUUUGAACCGCAUGGUUCGAAAUUGAAAGGCGGCUUCGGCUGUCACUUAUGGAUGGACCCGCGUCGCAUUAGCUAGUUGGUGAGGUAACGGCUCACCAAGGCAACGAUGCGUAGCCGACCUGAGAGGGUGAUCGGCCACACUGGGACUGAGACACGGCCCAGACUCCUACGGGAGGCAGCAGUAGGGAAUCUUCCGCAAUGGACGAAAGUCUGACGGAGCAACGCCGCGUGAGUGAUGAAGGCUUUCGGGUCGUAAAACUCUGUUGUUAGGGAAGAACAAGUGCUAGUUGAAUAAGCUGACACCUUGACGGUACCUAACCAGAAAGCCACGGCUAACUACGUGCCAGCAGCCGCAGUAA